GAGGUAAAUGUAAUACACAAAAGCAAAAACAAAAAGCAGCCACCUCAGAGGCAUCAGAGAGCUAGCAAAGUAGAAGAGAUUUACCAGGCAAGAUGCAGGAGAACAGAAAUCCAGAGAGGUUACCCCAAUCCCAUCUCCUCUGGGAGUGUUUGCUGAUUUCAACAGAGGUGAUUGAGAGACUGAUCAAGACUUUUGACAGCCUCUCUGGGCCCAAGACACACAAAAAAACUGAUGUUCAGAGCCUUCCAAGGGGUUGGGAGGAGGGCCUCAGGUAAAUCUCACCAAACUGGGUUAAGACCUCAAAGAGCUGCCCUAGGAAUAAGGGAGAGAUGGAAGCAGAGCAGCCUCACAGGGAUUUCAGCUCAGCCCCUGAUGAUUUCAACCUCCUGAUUCUUCUAUUCAGCUCCAAGAUUGUUACAGCCAAGGCACCUGACAAAAACAAAUUAGAAACCUCUUUGGGCUGGGCAUAGUGGCUCAUGCCUGUAAUUCCAGCACUUUGGGAGGCUGAGGCAGGCAGAUCACCUGAGCUUAGGAGUUUAAAACCAGCGUGGGCAAUAUGGCGAAAAUCUGUCUCUACUAAAAAUACAAAAAUUAGCUUGGCAUGGGGGUGGGUGCCUGUAAUCUUAGCUACUUUGGGGGCUGAGGCAGAAGGAUCUCUUGAGCCUAGGAGGUCGAGGCUGCAGUGAGCAGAGAUUAUGCCACUGCACUCCAGCCUGGGUGACAAAGUGAGACCCUGUCUCAAAAAAAAAGAAAAAAAGAAAACUCUUUGGAGAAAGAUAACGUCUCAUAGACAUAAAAUUAUUUCUAUAUAUUUUUUCAAAUGUAAUAUCUGGCAUAUAAUAAGGCACACAAGAAUCAAGACAACAUAAAUGAUAACCAGCCAAAAUAAGGCAAUAAGGCAAUAGAGAUAAACAGAAUCUCCAGACACUGAAAUUGUCAGCUACAUUUUUACUAUGCUCAAAAGAGAUAAAAUAGACUGAGAAUUAUGGCAGAGAACUAGGAAGCCUGACUUUUUUUUUUUUUUUGAGACUGAGUCUUGCUCUGUUGCCCAGGCUGGAGUGCAGUGGCACGAUCUCAGCUUACUGCAAGCUCCGCCUCCCAGGUUCAUGCCAUUCUCCUGCCUCAGCCUCUCGAGUAGCUAGGACUACAGGCACCUGCCACCGUGCCCAGCUAAUUUUUUUUUAUAUAUUUUUAGUAGAGGUGGGGUUUCACCAUGUUAGCCAGGAUGGUCUCGAUCUCCUGACCUCAUGAUCUGCCCACCUCAGCCUCCCAAAGUGCUGGGAUUACAGGCGUGAGCCACCACGCCCAGCCGACUUUUUUUUUUUUAAUUGCAGACAGAGUCUUCCUCUGUCUCUCUGAGUGAAGUGGCGCCAUUUCAGUUCAUUACAACCUCUACUUCCUGGAUUCAAGCGAUUCUUAUGCCUCAGCCUCCCGAGUAGCUGGGACUACAGGCAUGCACCACCAUGUCCAGCUAAUUUUUUGUAUUUUUAGUAGAUACAGGGUUUCACCAUGUUGGCCAGGCUGGUCUUGAACUCCUGAGCUCAGGCAAUCGUCCCACCUCGGCCUAAGAAAGUUCUGGUGUUACAGGCUUGAGCCCCAUGCCUGGCCAUAUUUUUUAAACAUUGUAAUAGAAAUUCUAGAAUUGAAAAAUAUGAUAACCAAAAGCAGGAAUUCAGCAGAUUAAACAAAGCUGAAGAGAUAAUUAUAUACUGAAAGCUAGGUCAAAGGAAAAUAUCUACAGUGAAACCCAAGAAUAGAAAAUAUAGACGAGAAGGUAGGAGACAGAGAAUACUGAAAGUCUGCCAUGUGGAAUUGGAAUCCUGGAAGGAGGGGGAGAGGACAAGAUAGAGACAAUAUUGGAAGGGAUAAAUAGCUACAAUUUUUUUCAAAAAUGAUGAGAGACAUCAAGCCACAAAUUCAAGAAGACAAACCUCAAGCAGGAUAAAUGGAAGAAACCCACCCCUAGGUGCAUGAUAAUCAAACAGUUGAAAACCAAAGACAAAAAGAAAAUCUUUUUUUUCUUUUUUUUUUGAGACAGAGUCUUGCUCUGUUGCCCAGGCUGUAGUGCAGUGGCAUGAUCUCAGCUCACUGCAACCUCUGCCUCCCAGGUUCAAGCAAUUCUCUGCCUCAGCCUCCCGAGUAGCUGGGGAUUACAGGUGCCUGCCACCACGCCUGGCUAAUUUUUAUAUUUUUAGUAGAGAUGGGGUUUCACCAUUUUGGCCAGGCUGGUCUUGAACUCCUGACCUCAUGAUCCACCCACCUCAGCCUCCCAAAGUGCUGCAAUUACAGGCAUGAGCCACCGCCCCCAGCCAAAAAGAAAAUCUUGAAAGCAGCUAGUACACAGAUGUAUGCGUUUGUCAAAAUCCAUUGAAUAGUACACUUUAAGAUUUAUGUUGCAUUAUGCAUAAAUUUUAUCUCGAAAGAACUGUGAACAAAUACUGAGCUCUAUUUGCUGACAUGCAUAGUGAAGUAUUUUGGGGAAAGUGUCCAGAGAUCUGUAAUUUACUUUGAAAUUCCUCACAAGUAGGACGACUUGACUGAGGCAUGGGGGGAGGCAGUAAAGCAAGUAGACUCAACUGUUAGUGGUGAUCCGGUAGUGAGUCAGUGCCAGUACAUUGGAACUCUUUUAGCUUUUCAGGAGGAGCGGAGUAUUUUCUUUGACCACAGUGAACUUAAGCUAGGGACCAACAGCAAGGAUAAUGAGAAAAAUCUCCAUAUGUUUGAAAAAUAAGAAAAUAACUUCUAAAAACAACCCAUAUGUCAAAGAAGAAAUACUGAUGGAAUAAUGGAAUUUUGAAUUGAAUGAUAAUACUGAGCUAUUUAAAUUUGCAGGGGGCAGUUAAAGUCAUGGAUAGAGGGAAAUUUUGUAAUUUUAUUUUAUUUUUAAAUUUUAUUUGUUUAUUUAAUUUUUUGAGACAGAGUUUUGCUCUUGUUGCCCAGGCAGGAGUGCAAUGCCACGAUCUUGGCUCACCGCAACCUCCUCCUCCUGGGUUCAACUGAUUCUCCUGCCUCAGCCUCCUUAGUAGCUGGGAUUACAGGCAUGCACCACCACGCCUGGCUAAUUUUGUAUUUUUAGUAGAGACAGGUUUUCUCCAUGUUGAUCACGCUGGUCUCGAACUUCUGACCUCAGGUGAUCCGCCCGCCUCGGCCUCCCAAAGUGCUGGGAUUACAGGUGUGAGCCACCAUGCCUGGCCGUAUUUAUUUAUUUUUUGAAAUGAAGUCUCGUUUUUGUUGCCCAGGCUGGAGUGCAAUGGCGCACGGUCUUGGCUCACUGCAAACUCUGCCUCCUGAGUUCAAGCGAGUCUCCUGCCUCACCCUACCAAGUAGCUGGGAUUACAGGCGCCUGCCACUAUGUCCAGCUAAUUUUUUUUUUUAUUAGAGACGGGGUUUCACCAUGUUGGCCAGGCUGGUCUUGAACUCCUGACAUCAGGUGAUCCACCUGCCUCAGCCUCCCAAAGUGCUGGGAUUACAGAUGUGAGGCACUGCGCCUGGCCAAUUUUGUAAUUUUAAAUGCAUGUUAGAGAAGAAAAUAGGCUGAAAAAGUAAUGAUUUAAGCAUCCAUCUUAAGAAACUAGUGGCUGGGUGUGGUGGCUCAUGCCUAUAAUCCUAGCAUUUUGGGAGGCCGAGGCGGGCGGAUCACCUGAGGUUGGGAGCUCGAGACCAGCCUGGCCAACAUGGAGAAACCCUGUCUCUACUAAAACUACAAAAUGAGCCGGGCGUGGUGGCACAUACCUGUAAUUCCAGCUACUCGGGAGGCUGAGGCAGGAGAAUCACUUGAACCUGGGAGGUGGAGGUUGCAGUGAGCCAAGAUCAUGCCAUUGCACUCCAGCCUGGGCAACAAGAGCGAAACUCCGUCUCAAAAAAAAAAAAAUUAGCCAGGCCCAUGGCAGGUGCCUAUAAUCCCACCUACUCGGGAGGUUGAGGCAGGAGAAUCACUUGAUCCUAGGGGGCAGAGGUUGCAGUGAGCUGAGGUUGUGCCACUUCACUCCAGUCUGUGCGAAAGAGUGAAACUCAAUCUCAAAAAAAAAAAGAAAUUAAUAAAAGAAUAGCAAGUUAAACCCAAAGAAAGCAGAAUAAAAUGAGAAACAGCAGACAUUAAUUCAUUAAACAGAAAGCACACUUAGAAGAGAUGAAAGAGGCAAAAGUUGGUUUUUAAAACUGAAAACCCCAAGUUAAGAUGAUGAAAAAGAAAACAGGCUAAGCAGGGUUGCUCACGCCUAUAAUCCCAACACUUUGGGAGGCUGAGGCGGUAGGAUCGCUUGAGCCCAGGAGUUCGAGACUAACCUGGGCAACAUGGUGAGACCCUGUCUCUACAAAAAAUAGAAAAAUUGGCCAGGCACAGUGGCUCACACCUGUAGUCCCAGCUACUCCGGAGGCUGAGGUAGGAGGAUUGCUUGAGCCUAGGAGUUUGGGAGUGUAGUGAGCUAUGAUCAUGCUACUGCACUCCAGCCUGGGUGCCAGUGCUAGGCCCUAUCUCUAAAAAAGAAGAAGAAGAAACAGAAGACAGAAAUGGCAGGAAUGAAAAAGGAACAUGUUACAGAUCUUGCAGACAGUAAAAAGAUAAGAUAUAAAGAACAGCCAUUUGCUAUACAUUUGGCAAGGUAGAUGAAAUGGUCAAAUUUCUAGAAAAAGAUAACUACCAAAACUGCAAAAAAGGAAUAAGAAUCUGAGCAGUCCUAUAUCUAUUAAAUUGAAUCUAUAAUUAAAAAUGUUCUCACAGAAAGUUCCAAGUCCAAGUGUCUUCUUCACUGAGUUCCACCAGGCAUUUAAAGAGUGACACCUUCCAUGGCAGAAGUGUAAGAAAAAAAAGAAGAGGAAGUAACAGCAGACUUACACAAACUCCUAGAAUUGAAAAGAUUAAACAUUCCCCAACUUUCUUUAGGUCAGCAUAGUUUUGAUUCUAAAGCCUGCUGAGGACAUUAAAAAGAAGCAGCUCCUUCAUGAACAGAGUUGCAAAACUCCCAAACAAAAUAUUCGGAAACUGAAUUCAAAACUCGCAAAUGAAAUAUUCAGAAACUAGCAAGAUAAAAAAAAGGAUAAUAUAAUACAUCAUGAGAAGUAGGGUUUAUUCCAAAAAUACAAAUGUUUUAUGACAUCUAUAGUUGGCCAGGCACAGUGGCUCAUAUGGAGGCCAAGGUGGGAAGAUUGCUUGAGGCCAGGAGUUUGAGACCAACCUGGGCAACGUAGCAAAACCCUGUCUCUAAAUAAUUCACCACAUUAAAAAGAAGAAAAGUCAGAGUCAGGCCAGGCACCAUGGCUCACACCUGUAAUCCCAGCACUUUGGGAGGCCGAGGCAGGCAGAUCAUUUGAGGUCAGGAAUUUGAGACCAGCCUGGCCAACAUGGUGAAACUCUGUCUCUACUAAAAAUACAAAAAUUAGCCGGGUUUGGUGGGGCACGCCUGUGAUCCCAGCUACUUGGAAAGCUGAGGCAGGAGAAUCGCUUCAACCUGGGAGGCAGAGAUUCCAGUGAGCCAAGAUUGCACCACUGCACUCCAGCCUGGAUGACAGAGCAAGACUCCAUCUCAAAAAAAAGAAAAA